UACGGGGGGGGCAAGCGUUGUUCGGAAUUACUGGGCGUAAAGGGCUCGUAGGCGGCCAACUAAGUCAGACGUGAAAUCCCUCGGCUUAACCGGGGAACUGCGUCUGAUACUGGAUGGCUUGAAUCCGGGAGAGGGAUGCGGAAUUCCAGGUGUAGCGGUGAAAUGCGUAGAUAUCUGGAGGAACACCGGUGGCGAAAGGCG
rnacentral:rRNA from 1 species